CGGAUAAGUCGUUGGAAAGGGGGGAGGGGGUUCACCUUCCCUGGACCCAGCGGGAACUACCGCUUCCCCGCCCCCACCCUCACCCUCACAUACACACCCCUUCUUCGCUCCCUCCAAAUGGUUAUCACAACUGUGUACAAACUGAUACGGUGCUGAGCCGGCAAAGGGACUGGAAAUGAACGUCGCGGGGUUAUCAGCGCGGAUCUGUCAGCAGCGAGGCGCGCGGCUGCGGGUUCGUCCGCGGCAGGAGUAGUGAUAUAUGUCUCCGCUCCCUUUCGCUCACAAAAAGAUUUCUUCCGACAGACGCGACCCCAGAAGGCCGCGGAGAGAGAAUUUUAACUAGGGCAGCAGGAGUUGCUUUGUGGGGAUGGAUUUUACAUUUUUCUCCCAGCCUGUUAUCUAGGCCACCCAUGACCGACGAAAGAUCUUCCCUCCCGGCUUCUCCCACGGCCGCUUUAAACCAAAUAAAUUUAGCUAUUAAGGGCCAAGAUGUCUGACAAAAGAUCGAAAGGUGUCUAUCCGUGAUCGCUUAAAGCAGCGAAGGAGAAACUUGUGGCUCUCUGAUCCCGAUAAAGACAUUCCACACGGCGCCGGCCUCCCUCCCCGCGGCCUGGUUGCGUCCUGACGCCUUGAGAUCUCCGCUUCGCUGGCCAGAUCUCCCCGGGCCCGGCGAGACCUGCGUCCGUCGCCCUGGGAAUGCGGAGGUCCCCAGGCGGCCGGGCUUGGGGGUGCCAGGCCCCACGGUCCCGGGAGCCGUGGAAAUUCAGGCCUGACCCGGCUGGGCUCCGAAAACAGACCCCCUGCACUUGGCAGAAAAACUAAACCGAGCUCAUUAGGACCUGAAUUACUAUCCCUUUUGAUUAUUUUCUGAUGCUGAAUACUACUGUAGGCCAUCCACCCCUGCCUUCCCCCCCUCAACAAACCCUGCGGGUUUGCCGAGGGUCCGAGUUACUUCACAUGACUGGGCGUUGGGAGCACUCCCUUUGAACCCCGGUCAGAACCUGGUGGGUGGAACUUGGCAGCUAAAUUAGACUGAGGCUAAUGGGGAGGGUGUGGACUCCCAGAGUAAGAGCGCGCAGGUGGGAGGCAGAGGUCCGGCCAUUCAAUCAUCCCCAGGUUGGGUUUGGUUAUGAAGUGUGGUAUUUAUUGUCAUUAUUAAUUACUACUGGCAUCACUACACAAAGCUGAGGGCUGCCAGCUUGGCUGAGGCCCUGCCCCUGCGGGGAUCCCUUCCCUUUCACUAAAGGUGAAGCAGGGAAUAUCCACUUUGCUGAUCCAGGACUGGAAAGUGGUCUUGGGAGCCAGGGGCUAUGUUUUGGGAGUUUGUGCACUGAAUCAUUUCUUUUCCUCUUUGGUAGCAUUCCCCUAUAACUCUUAAACACACAUGGAAGCCUUUCCUACCUCUUUGUAGUAUGUGUGGGUAAGAACCUCAGGGUGGUAGAUCAGAGACUGUACUGACUUCCCUGCCGGGGAGAUUCUCCCCAUAUCUUCUGCCAUCCCCUAGUGCUUUAUGGUGAAGUUGGAGACAGGAGUCAGAAUUCCAAAGGCAAACCAACUUCAGUUUCUGUCACCUCGGUCUGGGCCCCAGAAGUGAAAUCUGCCUCUCUUUUCUCAUUGCCCUGCUCCAAAUAAGGUGAACUCCAAAACCAGCCGUCUUAUCUAAUCCUUCGACCACCACCCCCACCCCAGCCUCCUGGGAUAGGAAAACUCAGAGCAUCGGAAGGAAAAAGACCAUUUCUACUCCCCAAAAGGGGAACGAGAUACAGAAAUUUCCAACACACUAGACAGGCCCCAGGCUUUCCUUGGAGUUUGCUGGUAUCACUAGAUGGGCAGACAAUGCCAAUUCCAGGGUCAGAGUCCAGAUGCCACUUCCCCAGAGCUGUCUCAGCUCAGAGACCUGGUUUUUCUUUUCUUAGGGGGUGUGGGGGGUGCAUUGGUUAGGUGUUGCUAAGGAGAAGCGGAAAAGGAGGUUUUUGGAUGUUUGCUAAGUAGGUAAUGUUCAAGUCAAUUAAAGGGGGGAGUGCCCCCAAAUAAAAAAAAAUAACUGCAUUUGCCCCCCAGAACUAUGACCUCUGCACUCAGUUAUGUUACAAAUAUGCAGAGAAUCAGGACCAAGAGUUGUGUACCCAUAUGCAGCCCUCCAGUUUCCUGCACUUGCUCCACAGCACUGCAUGUACACUGCACAAAGAAGAACUAGAAGGGUUAGCAACUAGUUUUGAAGUAUUUACAGUCUAGAAGUUUGGCACUUCUGUAGAGCCUCAAAGAUGGAGGAAGAUGCUUGAUCCUUUCUCUAAAAAAGUACCCAGCCUCAUGUUGUCUUGUCGGCUUCACAGUGAGUUUGUGAAAAAGGGAGUCACUCUGACUCACAGACUGAGGCAAUUGAGAUAGGUUUCAAACCUGACUCCGCCACAUUCUGUGUGACCAGGACAAAUUCCCUAACUUCUCUGUGCCUCAGUUUUCCCAUCUGUAACAUGGGGAUGAUAAAAGUACCUGUCUUACAGGAUUGUUAGGGGAUUAAAAGAUUACUAGUAUCUAUACUGUAUUGGACUCCUGUACUACACCAUUUUUCAAUUUGUUGUGUGUCUCAACUGUUUCCCGGAGCUGGUUCAUUUCCAGGGAAGAACUACUUUGAGCACACUUUCAACUUUAAGUCCUGCCAUUCGUUUAAGGUCUCAGGCAUUCUCUGUGUACCAGCAGUGAGGAUUUUAUUUAUUGCAUUAUAGUAGAAAGGGGUGGGGUGAGACAAACAUAGAUCCUUUACUUGGCUUUUGCUUCCUUUGAAGAAGAAACAUUCUUGUUGUCCCCCUUUGCAAAUGCCAGCAGCAGACUCGAACAUCCUCUUUCCUGGAAAUUAAUUAGCUCCGGGGAACAGUUGGGUCACACAAAAAAUUGAAAUCUGCUGUAGUACACGCGAGUCUAUUACAAUAUAGAUAGUAAUCUUGACAAAGAUAGUAAUCUUGAGGCUCAUCCCUGAGAAAAGUAUCCCAGUCCUCAGCAGCACCCCUCCCUGAGAACAACUUCUGGCAACAGCAGUGAGUUAACAGAUGGGACCAUGAAGGAGAGCAACCUGUGGGCUGACAUUAGAUAAAAGGGAGGGGGGGGGGCUCAUUAAAUGGACCUGGUCAUCUGAUUAUACUUCUGUACUCUUCCCAUGCUUUGUACCUUUCAGUUUGGUAUUGCUGUAUAUGCAGGAAACUUUAACGUCCCAUUUUGUUAAGAAAUAGAAAAAUAAAGAUCACUUAGAAGUUAUGGAA